AUUGAACGCUGGCGGCAGGCCUAACACAUGCAAGUCGAGCGGAUGAAGGGAGCUUGCUCCUGGAUUCAGCGGCGGACGGGUGAGUAAUGCCUAGGAAUCUGCCUGGUAGUGGGGGAUAACGUCCGGAAACGGGCGCUAAUACCGCAUACGUCCUGAGGGAGAAAGUGGGGGAUCUUCGGACCUCACGCUAUCAGAUGAGCCUAGGUCGGAUUAGCUAGUUGGUGGGGUAAAGGCCUACCAAGGCGACGAUCCGUAACUGGUCUGAGAGGAUGAUCAGUCACACUGGAACUGUGACACGGUCCAGACUCCUACGGGAGGCAGCAGUGGGGAAUAUUGGACAAUGGGCGAAAGCCUGAUCCAGCCAUGCCGCGUGUGUGAAGAAGGUCUUCGGAUUGUAAAGCACUUUAAGUUGGGAGGAAGGGCAGUAAGUUAAUACCUUGCUGUUUUGACGUUACCAACAGAAUAAGCACCGGCUAACUUCGU
rnacentral:rRNA from 1 species